AGCGAACGCUGGCGGCAGGCUUAACACAUGCAAGUCGAGCGGGCAUCUUCGGAUGUCAGCGGCAGACGGGUGAGUAACACGUGGGAACGUACCCUUCGGUUCGGAACAACUCUGGGAAACUGGAGCUAAUACCGGAUACGCCCUUAUGGGGAAAGGUUUACUGCCGCAGGAUCGGCCCGCGUCUGAUUAGCUAGUUGGUGGGGUAACGGCCUACCAAGGCGACGAUCAGUAGCUGGUCUGAGAGGAUGAUCAGCCACACUGGGACUGAGACACGGCCCAGACUCCUACGGGAGGCAGCAGUGGGGAAUAUAGGACAAUGGGCGCAAGCCUGAUCCAGCCAUGCCGCGUGAGUGAUGAAGGCCGUAGGGUUGUAAAGCUCUUUUGUCCGGGACGAUAAUGACGGUACCGGAAGAAUAAGCCCCGGCUAACUUCGUG
rnacentral:rRNA from 1 species